rnacentral:misc_RNA from 1 species
ACUCUGCCUCGUGCAGAGAGUGGGAGGCCGGGAAGUUGUUCAAACUUGAUCAUUUAGAGGAAGUAAAAGUCGUAACAAGGUUUCCGUAGGUGAACCUGCGGAAGGAUCAUUACCGAGUAGCUACCUACCUCCGCUGGCCGCGAGUCAGUGAAUGAGUGGGGUGUUUACUACCGUGUGAACCGACUGAAAAAUUUUUUAGGGGUCGGCUCGUUCCGUUAAAAGGGGAGCACCGUGAUGAGCCACCAGCUGGCUGGCUGGUGAGCCUCGCGGUGGGCUCCUGCCCCGACAGUGUUUUUUAAAAGGACACAUUUGAUGUAAAAGACUGAGCGCAGUGAGAGAGAUAUGUUCUAACAUAGAAAAAUGAAAGUGUGACAACUUUUGACGGUGGAUCUCUAGGCUCACGCAUCGAUGAAGAACGCAGCCAGCUGCGAUAAGUAGUGUGAAUUGCAGAAUUCAGUGAAUCAUCGAAUCUU